rnacentral:rRNA from 1 species
ACGGCUCAGUAACACGUGGCUAACCCACCCUUGAGACGGAGAAAACCCCGGGAAACUGGGGCUAAUCCCCGAUAGGAGAAGACACCUGGAAGGGGUCUUUUCCCAAAAGGCGCUUAGAUCAUGCUUCUAGACGCCGCUCAAGGACGGGGCCGCGGCCGAUCAGGUUGUUGGUGAGGCAAUGGCUCACCAAGCCCAUAACCGGUACGGGCCGUGAGAGCGGGAGCCCGGAGAUGGGCACUGAGACAAGGGCCCAGGCCCUACGGGGCGCAGCAGUUGCGAAAACUCCGCAAUGCACGAAAGUGUGACGGGGCUACCCCGAGUGCCGUCCGCUGAGGGCGGCUUUUCCCCGGUGUAAGGAGCCGGGGGAAUAAGGAGAGGGCAAGUCUGGUGUCAGCCGCCGCGGUAAUACCAGCUCUCCGAGUGGUAGGGAUGAUUAUUGGGCUUAAAGCGUCCGUAGCCGGCCUAGCAAGUCUUCCGUUAAAUCCAACGAUUCAAUCGUUGGACUGCGGGAGAUACUGUUGGGCUAGGGGGCGGGAGAGGCUGACGGUAUUCUCGGGGUAGGGGUAAAAUCCUAUAAUCCCGGGAGGACCACCAGUGGCGAAGGCGGUCGGCUAGAACGCGCUCGACGGUGAGGGACGAAAGCUGGGGGAGCGAACCGGAUUAGAUACCCGGGUAGUCCCAGCUGUAAACGAUGCGGGCUAGGUGUUGGAGCGGCUACGGGCCGCUUCAGUGCCGCAGGGAAACCAUUAAGCCCGCCGCCUGGGGAGUACGGCCGCAAGGCUGAAACUUAAAGGAAUUGGCGGGGGAG